GAGCCUAACACUGAUGAUGGAGUCUGUUCCUCCUUUGAUGAUCGACCCGGUCCUUAUGUACACCGUGUACACGCAAUCAUCGUCGGCAGAAACAUCGACGGUUGAGACGGCUAGUAGAAGGAGAAAACAGAGAAGGCGAGCGUAAAAUGCCAUAUUUUUGUGAGGAAAUGCGAAGCUUUGGACUAUGCGGGUAGAGAUUGA
rnacentral:misc_RNA from 1 species